UACAGAGGUCUCGAGCGUUAGGCGGAAUCACUGGGCUUAAAGCGUGUGUAGGUGGAUGCCUAAGUACCUUGUGAAAUCCCACAGCUUAACUGUGGAACUGCUUGGUAUACUGGGUGUCUUGAGUCACUCAGGGGCGAGCGGAACAAGUGGUGGAGCGGUGAAAUGCGUAGAUAUCAUUUGGAACGCCAAUGGUGAAAACAGCUCGCUGGGGGUGCACUGACACUGAGACACGAAAGCCAGGGGAGCGAACGGG
rnacentral:rRNA from 1 species